ACACAGGUCCUAGAAAGUAGAGAUGCAUUUUUAUUUUUUAAAUAAUGUCAAGAAUUUAACCCCACGAUUAACAUUAAUCUGGAUGGUUCUUUUCCUAGGCCGUUAGACAAAACUUUUAUCAAAUAUUUGUUGAUAGGUUGGGGGUGAUAUUAACCUUUUUAAAACUUUUUUAAGCUAUUCCAAACAAUUUAUUUAUCAUAUUAUUGAUUAAAGAAAUGGUAUUAAUUGAUGUGUUAUCUUAAAAUGAACAUGUAUCCUCACGUUUUUUAUACCACUUUAUUGGCCUAUCAGUAAUAGCUAGAUGGAUAAUAUCAUUCUAUUUUUAUCUUCUUGGUUGAAUUGGGUAGCUUAUAGUUGGAUUUAAUGCUUCAGCUAGCUAGAUUUGUUGCUAGAAACACGUUUCUUCGAAAUGAAUACGGCACUUGGUCGCUUAAAGAUUUUAUUUUUAUUUCUAUUUCACUCUUUUUUUCUUUUUUUUUUGGCACUGUAGCAUUUCCAGUGAGAUAAGGUAAAGGUGGUUAAGAUUAUCACUCCAGAUUCUUACAAGUAUAUAAGCAUUUUAGCCGCCACCUUUUUCACAGAUACUUUUGAUGACAGUCAAUUUGCUUUUAUUGUCAUAAUCUUAACACUUUCCAUUUUAACCUUGAGUAAAUAUUUUCUGUUUUAUUCUAAGAUCGAAUCUGAUGUUAAUUAUGACUUGCUACAUUAUUACAGACAAAAAGAAAGUGGAAAAAAAAAAAGAAAAAUAGAGAGAAUCUGAUGUUAAUUAUGACUUGCUACAUUAUUUACGGUCAUAAUCGGUUGUUUUACCUCUUACUCAGGGGUUGCUUGACAAUGCUUUUGAAACAAAUUUAAGCAAAUUUUGAAAGUGAAGUAUGGGGUGGAAAAGUUGAUAAAAGUUGUGGAUUUCAUGAAAUGUUUGAUUUAACCCAUUGAAAAUUUAAUAAUAUUUUAGCUAAGUUUUAUCAAACACGACCAACUUUGGUAGAAAUUUUUUGAAAACCGAAACUCUAGAAAACGAACAAGUCAGAAAGGAUCUUGCUCCCAGAGUUUGAUUUUCUAUGAAUGUUAAACAUAUCAGUAACAGACACAUAGCUUGUUUGAUGAUAGAUCCAUCGAUCAUUUUCAACCUUAUAAAACCCCAAAUUCCAUGGCACCAAAAUUCAUACUGUUUUGCGUGCACAAGUCUUGUAUAGUUUGGAGAAAUAGAGAUCUGUCAGUUUGAAGAAUCCUGCUGCCAACAGGCAGCAGAUUUUUCCUCUAUUUUUAUUAUUUUUUAAUUAUUAUUUUUUAAUGGGCCAGCCCGGAUCGAGCCAAUUCCCAAAAUGAGGUUCGGCCCGAGCCGAUGAGCCCAAUUGCCAUCUCCUACUAUUAUUUUUGUGACUUUGACUGCACAAAUGAAAUGGCAUCUUAUCUUGAAAUUUGAAGCAAAACUAACAAAGGCUGGUAUGGAUUUGUAAUAUGUAUAGUUCGGUAUGGGGAGUGCCCUUGAAACGCUAUGUGGUCAGGCAUUUGGUGCUGGACAAGUUCACAUGCUCGGCAUUUACAUGCAACGCUCGAUAAUAAUCCUCUUGGCCACUUGUGUCCUCUUGUUGCCAAUAUAUGUGUUUGCGACCCCAAUUCUAAAGCUCCUUGGACAGGAGAACGACAUAGCAAAUCAUGCAGGAGUAUAUACACUUCUGGUUAUCCCUCAAUUGUUUUCCCUUGCUGUGAGUUUCCCGGCUCAGAAGUUCCUUCAAGCCCAGAGUAAAGUUGCCGUGCUGGCAUGGAUAUCGUUUCUUGUAUUGGUUUCACAAGUUUUUCUAUGUUGGCUUUUUAUUCAAAUAUUUGGUUGGGGAACAACUGGUGCAGCCGCAGCAUUGGACCUUGCGAGUUGGAUUAUGGCCUUAGCUCAAUUUGGUUAUGUGGUUGGUUGGUGCAAGGAUGGUUGGACGGGAUUCUCAUGGUUUGCAUUUAGGGAUUUAUGGGCCUUUGUGAGGCUCUCCUUUGAAUCUGCCAUCAUGCUAUGCCUCGAGGUCUGGUAUAUGAUGAGCAUAGUUGUACUCGCUGGACAUCUUGACGAUGCCAUAACUGCAGUUGGUUCCCUUUCUAUUUGGUGAGUUUAAGUCAAUUUUUUUUACAUAUGCCCACAUAUCAUAGUGAUUUAAAGAGUUCUCAAGCUCUCUUCAGUGAAGUGGUAAAUUUUAGUUUAUUCAUGACUUUGAUAGAGUACAGAAAUAAUUUAGAACUGUCCAGCUGCAAAUUACCUAUUUCUAGUUUACGGUAUGCCGAGCCAUUAGAAUGAUGUGAAUUAUCAAUUAGAAUGGAAAAAUAAAUCCAUCAGCGAUCUAUCAAUGUUGAUUGACAAGAAAAUUGAAUGUGCACUAAUCGUUUACCAUUUCAACUUUUGUAAAAUUGGAAUAUUACAUACUCCAAGCCUUAUUUUUGUAUUCUUAAUUUCUUUUACAAUGCUUAUAUCUUCAUUUGCUGUAAUCUGUCAGCACGAGCAUUGAUGGGUGGGAAUCCAUGGCGUUCAUGGGAGUCAAUGCUGCUAUAAGGUAAAAAAUCAAGCAAUGCUUUUUUACUUUGUUCUUAAUAAGCUCGAUUAUAAAUUGAAUUGAACUGUGUGUGAAUAUGGCGUAGUCAUUUUCUGCAAAUUUCCAUUCACCGCCCUAGGCCAUCUAUAGUACAACCAUUUGCAGGGUGGUUUUUUCAUCACAUCAACCAAACUGAGAAACAAUAAAUAAGAACAAUUUCUGUGUGCAUCCAAAUGGAUGGAACCUUGGAGAAAAUAGGAAUUCUGUGUGCUCAAUGAAAAUUCGUUUAUAUUUUUGCGCCGGAUUGAUUGAAGAAUCCAAACAAUAUGGAGGACUUUUGGUGUUCAUCACUUUGAUAUGGUCAAAUAAUACCUGGUUUGUGGUAAAUCAGUACUUUGGUGUUAAUUUUGCAAGUGUAGAUGAUCUCCUGGUUAGUGAAUAGCUCCGCUUUAAGAACAUAACACCAGAUUUAGAAGCAAUUAGAUAGCAUGAACUGAGAUUCAAGUUGAUCUCCCGACCAAAAUUCAAGUCACAUGCUCCUCAUAAUAAAGUGCAGGAUGGCUCGUAACUUUCUAUCUCUGUUAAUUGAAUGUCGGGUUGCCACUUGCCAUAUGGUUAAUGUUCUGUUUUAUUUCAUUCUAUGCUGGUUUUGUUUUCUAUAUGCUGCUACUAUCCAUAUAAAUUUCACUGCCCCUAUCUUUUGUAUUCCAGUGUUCGAGUCUCAAAUGAGCUUGGCUUAGGACAUCCAAGAGCAACCAAAUAUUCCGUCUAUGUCACAGUUUUUCAGUCACUGCUGAUUGGGAUUCUUUGCAUGAUUAUUAUCCUGGCUACAAGAAACUAUUUGGGUAUUAUUUAUACAAAUAGUGAAACUAUGAUCCGUGCAGUUGCUCGCCUUUCUGCACUUCUUGGAGUUACAAUGCUUCUCAACAGUGUCCAACCAGUGAUAUCAGGUAUUGAUCCUUCGAUCGAAGUAUCUUGACUAUGCUUAUCUAAGCCGUGAUUGAUUCCAUUCCAUUUCCUUUCCUUUAAUUAAUUUCUCAUACUCAUUUUCAACCCCAUGUUCGCACAAUAAAAUACUUUUACACGUAAACCCAAAACUUUUCAAUCAUACCUUCACCAAAAAAUACUAUUCAAAACUAUGUUUUUUUAAAAAAAAAAAAAAAAAAAAAAAAAAAACACCAAACAAGGUCUAAAUGGCUUCUCCAUCAUGUUUCCUUGCUCUCCCGGCUUUUUGUAGGGGUUGCCAUUGGAGGUGGGUGGCAAGCUCUAGUAGCAUACAUCAACUUGGGUUGUUAUUACAUUUUCGGUCUUCCUCUUGGAUAUGUUCUUGGCUAUGUGGGUAAUCUUGGAGUGAUGGUAAGUAAAUUUUUAUUUGAACCUCAAAAUUAUACUAAAGCACAUCCUAAAUAACUUGAUGAUAUUACUCCUUUCCUUCAAAUAUAGCUUGCUAUUAAUCCUAAUCUAAUAGCCGGAACUUCGCCCUCAUUUAAUAUAGUCUUUUAUAGUAUCCUACGUCAAACUCGUAUCAUAUUUCAAAUUUCAACACCAUUUAUAUUUUAACUCUAUUUGGCUAUUCUUAUGAUUUAGUUUUCUUUAUAGGGACUCUGGGGUGGCAUGAUAGCCGGAGUAGGUCUGCAGACGCUGUUGCUCUUGCUGGUACUUUACAAAACCAACUGGAACAAGGAGGUUCGUGUUAAUGUCUCCACAUUAAUGAGGAUGUGUUUGAAUUUUAAGCAACUUUUUUCUAACUUGUUUAGAUAACUUAUUUUUACUUGCUUUUUGCAAUCCCUACUUUCUUUAUGGUAUAUUUUGCAAUUCCUAGUUUCAUAUCAAUUGAAAAAUUAUCUUACCAAUUAUUAAAUAUACCUUUUGCAAUUGUACUGAAAAACUACAAAUUUCAGGUCGAGCAAACGACGGAGCGCAUGCGAAAGUGGGGAGGGCAAGACAUAAUGGAGAAAUCACAUAGUUAUCAAAUUCCAUCAAAGAAUGUAAAACCGUGAUGACUUGUUUGGUACGCAAUAAUGGAUGGGAUUAGGAUUGGAUAGUAUAAUAAAUAAAAGUCACGUUCCUUUUUAUUUUAUAAUCCUAUUCAAUCCUGUCGAAGCCUUUUGGAAAACAUGCCUUAACUAUGUGUGCUUCACAUUUUUAAAUCACAAAAGCCAUAUGUACAAAAAUUCCAUUACCAGAAUUCAUACAGAUUUUCACAUGGGGUGGACCCUAUAUGAAUAAAUUAUUGCCAAAAAAAAAAUCACCCACCCCGUAACUGUGAGUGUUCUUGUAGGAUUUUGUAUUUUUUUUUUUUUGUACAUAUAGUGUGUGUUUUGAAAUAUAAUUUUAACUUGGCCGCACUACCGAUGUCGCAAAUAGAAUUCACGACAUAAAUUGUCGUUCAGUUCUAUGAUGAGAUAAUGAAUUCGGAACAUUUUGACAAAAUUCGAUUGAACACAUUUCAGUAACACUUUCAAAGUUCAGUGACUAUCUCUAUAAGGCGAUGAAAUUUUUUUGAAACAGCAAAACAUAUUAAAAACUGAAAAUAAGGUGAAGGAAGAGUAUUUAUUCAUCGAUAAGCGGAAAUCAAAGCACCGUAGUGAUGGAUGACUACAUCUUUAAAUUUAUAUAUCUUCCUUUUCUUAUAUGGUAGCAUAUGAAUCACUCUUUAUUUAAUUCCCACGUCUCUCCUUUUUAUAUCAUUUGAUAGUAACUUCUCAAAUACACGUCUCUUUUGUAUAGAAGAUAUUGAAAUAUAGAGUUAAAUAGAUGUAGACUUCUAUUUACACGUCGAUUUGUUAUGAAUUGAUAGGUGAUUUGAUUCGACGAAUAUCACUAUUUAAAUAUUUGUAGUCAUGUUUGUAUACAAUUUUUUUUUUCUCGUACUCUACGUCCAAUAUGAGUGCUUGCAAAAAUAUCAUUUUCAGUUUCCUUUAGAGGCCAAAAUAGAGUGUCGAGGGGACUAUUAGAGCUCUAAGAUGUAAUUGAACUGCAAUGACCCAAUAAUCAAUUAUUAACAAAUUGAGUAUCUGUGUUGGGCAAACGAAUCAAUUAUUGGAAUGAUUACGAAUUUCCUAAAGAGGAUAUACAAAAGAGUAGAAGUGGGUGCAAUCUGAUUCGGUACCCUUCGAUUCGAUCUUGAUUCUUGAAUUGAACAGAGUAUCGACGAAAAUUUUAAAAAUGGAAUCAUUGAUUUCAUAUUCAACUAUAGAAUCGAAUUGGAAUCAAACCAAUUGAUUUCAAUUCGGUCAGAUCCAAUUCUUUGUAUUGAAAAAAUUAUAAAAAUAAAUUAUGAAAUUACUUACCUGUUGAAAUGAUAAAAAUAGAGUUUGAAAUCACUUAUCAUUCUUGUAAUCUAAUUAUAAAAAAAAUCAAUUAAACAAGACUAUAAACAAAAAAUUAACUCAAAAACUCAAUAUCAAUUCAUAAAGAUGAAAAAAUGAUAAACUAUUAAACAUAACAUAAACGAUAAAAUCUUGAUUGAAAAUUAAUUAUUUAAAAAAAAAAACACAUUACAAAUCUACAAUAUUUAAAAUGGAAUGAUUGGAGAAAAACUUUCGAAUACUAAUUUUACCUUUACAUAUUUAGCUAUGGAGUCAAUAUACCCUCAUUUGGUUUACCGUUUUAUCUUUAAAUUUUUUAUUUUUUUGUCAAUGUGUCCUUAUAUAAUCAGUUAAAUUCCUUUCCUACUGAAAAUACACAUUAAUUCACAAAAAGAAAAUUAAAUUACAAAAUUGGAAGUUUGCAUUAAUCCGUUCACCUAGGCAUUGAAAUCUGAGUUUACUAAUUAAAAUUUCUAUAAUGCAUUUAGUUUAAGUUAAUUUUGCAACUUAUGAUAUUAAUAUUAAUUAACAAUGCCCUUAUCCAAUCUUUAUUAAUAACAUUAAUUCAUGUAUUAAUUUUUUUUUAAAUAUUCGUUAGUUAUUAUUCUAAAGCUAGUCAAUUUAUAUUCCAUUCCCAAUAAAACAAACAUUAAUUCACAAAAAGAAAAUUAAAUUACUGUUGACACAUAAAAAUUCAGCCCAAAUCGAACAGUUCAAGGAGUGAAGCCCAAUUGGAGAAUCCCCAAAUCAGAUGACCCAAAGAACGAAGCCCAAUCGAACAAAUCAAAAUGAAGGCCCAAAAAAGGAGGCCCAAAAACGCGGUAACGCCAUCGCCCAAGUUUGCAAGUCGCCCAGAAUCUGAGCGAAUGGAGUGUCAUACAAUCGCCCAGAACUGUUACUCUAUUCUCGCCCAAACCUUCAAGUCGCCCAAGGUAUUAACAAACAUAACGCGUCGUGGUUAUCAAGAAGUGCAGUUAUCAAAACAGUUAUUAAAGCAGCCCUAUCACGUUCCAUGAUUCAAAGAAUUCAAUCGAAAACGGUUGAACGAUGAAGGGUGAUGGCAGCAGUUAAAAGACGAUUUUCAUGACAAGGUGGCCAUUACGAAGAAAGUGGAUAGUUAUAGGACGAUCAAGCAGUUUUCAGAGUAGUUGAUCACAAAGAGAUCGCCUAUGAAGUAUAAAAAGGAGAAAGGACAUAGAAGCAGGGGACCGAAAUCCAAAACUCUCGAACAGAGAAUAUGUAAUUUUCAUUUUCUUAGUUUUUAGAUUUAAACACUUUUCUUU
rnacentral:lncRNA from 1 species